UACGUAGGGGGCAAGCGUUGUCCGGAUUUAUUGGGCGUAAAGAGCGUGUAGGCGGCCAUGCAGGUCCGCUGUGAAAACUCGAGGCUCAACCUCGAGACGUCGGUGGAAACCGCAUGGCUAGAGUCCGGAAGAGGAGAGUGGAAUUCCCGGUGUAGCGGUGAAAUGCGCAGAUAGUCGGGAGGAACACCGAUGGCGAAGGCAGCCCCCUGGGUCAAGAUUGACGCUCAUGCACGAAGCGGUGG
rnacentral:rRNA from 1 species